UAGGGAAUCUUCCGCAAUGGGCGAAAGCCUGACGGAGCAACGCCGCGUGAGUGAUGAAGGUCUUCGGAUCGUAAAACUCUGUUAUUAGGGAAGAACAAAUGUGUAAGUAACUAUGCACGUCUUGACGGUACCUAAUCAGAAAGCCACGGCUAACUACGUGCCAGCAGCCGCGGUAAUACGUAGGUGGCAAGCGUUAUCCGGUAUUAUUGGGCGUAAAGCGCGCGUAGGCGGUUUUUUAAGUCUGAUGUGAAAGCCCACGGCUCAACCGUGGAGGGUCCUUGGCAACUGGAAAACGUUAUUGCAGAAGAGGAAAGUUGAAUUCCAUGUGUAGCGGUGAAAUGCGCAGAGAUAUGGAGGUACACCAGUGGCGAGGGCGACUUUCUGGUCUGUAACUGACACUGCUGUGCGAAAGCGUGGGGAUCAAACACG
rnacentral:rRNA from 1 species